rnacentral:tRNA from 1 species
GCCUUCCUGGGAUAAUUGUAAACCUACUCAACCCAUAUUCGAGAGGUCCAGGGUUCGAGUCCCCGGGAAGGCA